rnacentral:SRP_RNA from 1 species
GCCGGGUGUGGUGGUGCACACCUGUAAUCCCAGCUACUCAGGAGGCUGAGGCAGGGGAAUUGCUUGAACCCAGGAGAUGGAGGUUGCAGUGAGCUGAGAUCGCACCACUACACUCCAGCCUGGGUGACACAGCGAGACUCUGUCUCAA